rnacentral:tRNA from 1 species
GUGGUUUUAGCUCAGUUGGUUAGAGCACCAGAUUGUGGUUCUGGGGGUCGCCGGUUCGAACCCGGUAAGCCACCCCA